AAUCAACGCUGGCGGCGUGCCUCAGACAUGCAAGUCGAACGAUUAAGACUUCCUUCGGGAAGUGUAUAAAGUGGCGCACGGGUGAGUAACACGUAAGUAAUCUACCUUCGAGUGGGGAAUAACAUCGGGAAACCGAUGCUAAUACCGCAUAAUGCAGCGGCAUCGCAAGAUGACAGUUGUUAAAGGAGCAAUUCGCUUGAAGAGGAGCUUGCGGCAGAUUAGCUAGUUGGUAAGGUAAUGGCUUACCAAGGCUACGAUCUGUAUCCGGUCUAAGAGGACGGUCGGACACACUGACACUGAAUAACGGGUCAGACUCCUACGGGAGGCAGCAGUCGGGAAUUUUGGGCAAUGGGCGAAAGCCUGACCCAGCAACGCCGCGUGAGGGGUGAAGGCCUUCGGGUUGUAAAGCUCUUUCGCACACGACGAUGAUGACGGUAGUGUGAGAAGAAGCCCCGGCUAACUUCGUGCCAGCCGCCGCCGUAAGAC
rnacentral:rRNA from 1 species